rnacentral:rRNA from 1 species
CCUACGGGAGGCAGCAGUGGGGAAUCUUGCGCAAUGGGGGCAACCCUGACGCAGCCAUGCCGCGUGAAUGAUGAAGGCCUUAGGGUUGUAAAGUUCUUUUGCCCGUGACGAUGAUGACGGUAACGGGAGAAUAAGCUCCGGCUAACUUCGUGCCAGCAGCCGCGGUAAUACGAAGGGGGCUAGCGUUGUUCGGAAUUACUGGGCGUAAAGCGCGCGCAGGCGGUUCGAUAAGUUAGGGGUGAAAUCCCUGGGCUCAACCCAGGAAUGGCCUUUAAGACUGUCGAGCUAGAGGACGAGAGAGGUGAGUGGAAUUCCCAGUGUAGAGGUGAAAUUCGUAGAUAUUGGGAAGAACACCGGUGGCGAAGGCGGCUCACUGGCUCGUUUCUGACGCUGAGGCGCGAAAGCGUGGGGAGCAAACAGGAUUAGAUACCCUGGUAGUCCACGCCCUAAACGAUGAGUGCCAGGUGUCGGGAAGCUUAGCUUCUCGGCGCCGCAGCUAACGCCUUAAGCACUCCGCCUGGGGAGUACGGCCGCAGGUUAAAACUCAAUGAAUUGACGG